UCAGAGUCUGUCCGAUAAUGGCCACCAA
rnacentral:sRNA from 1 species